UGAGUAACACGUAUGCAAUCCACCUGUAACAGGGGAUAACCCGGAGAAAUCCGGACUAAUACCCCAUAAUAUGGGCGCUCCGCAUGGAGAGUCCAUUAAAGAGAGCAAUCUUGGUUACAGACGAGCAUGCGCUCCAUUAGCCAGUUGGCGGGGUAACGGCCCACCAAGGCGACGAUGGAUAGGGGUUCUGAGAGGAAGGUCCCCCACAUUGGAACUGAGACACGGUCCAA
rnacentral:rRNA from 1 species